CAAACAGUAAAUACCUACAAGAUGUACGACGUGAUAAAUAUUGUAUAUGAGAAUACGGUGAUGUAUACGAAACAAAAGUGAAAUUAAUCACAACCAUUUCGAAAACCAUCACGACAAACGAUUAUUAUGUCAUACGUGUUCACUUUUAAACUUCGUUACGGAUUCAUAUUAAUAUUGUGUGUCGUCAUUGUAUUCACGCGCACUAUUCUGGAUACAAAGGAAAUGGAUGAACGUACCUCACAAAGUACGACAACUCCCGCACAAGUAUAUUCGCAACUUCACAAGCGGAGAACAUAUUUCAACCGUCGGCUAGUCUAUUUUAGAAAAGUGCGGUCAUCAUAUUAGUUAUUUACACUUUUCAUCUCUAUCAAGGUAUUGAAUUCUCGAUCAGAAAGUGUCUUCGUAGAAAUCCGUUAAUGUACAUAUACAUUCAUGUGCAGCCAAAGUAUGGAAUGGAUGGAAGGAAUGAAGGGUAUGAACAAUACAACGAAAUUCCAACAAAACGGCUCUGGUUGUACCUGGUAUCCAAGGAGAAGUAUUGCCGGUUUUUCAAGAAAAGUUAGGGCUAUAAUAAGGGUAUAAUAAGGGAUUAUAUUGAUAAAUUCUAUACAAUUAUUAUCAUAAUAAUAUAAUACGCCCAGGUAUGUCAUUAUGAAAAAAAUGACAGUUUUAUCAAGGUAUAAAUGCUCCCAAGGCGUUUGCGCCUCAUGGAAACCUUCUUCUAGAAUAGUACCUACGUUUCACUUGUUGUAAUAUUGUCAUAUUGACAUAGCGAUGGAUUACUGGCUGACUAAUUUUAUAUUUUAUUAUGAUAUAAUAACAUUAAUACAAUGUACUUCCUUUUAGAUUUUUAACUCAGACCGUAAUAUUUCAUUAUCGUCAUCCGCAUAUUAUUUCAAUCGCGUUCCGAUGACUGUCCAUGCAGGCACAUUGUGCGCCGCCCAUCGAACCACAUCGUCACGAUCUCGCUGUUUGCGUUAAUUAAAUUAUUAUUAUACAUCUUCGUGUGUGUGUGUGUGUUAGUAUACAUAUAUACAAAUCACGAAGUCCAAUCCUCUCUCUCACACGUUUCUUCCAUUAUAAUUAUGUAUAUUCAUAAUAUUAUAUGUAUGCAAUAUUUAUAUAUAUGUACUAACAUAUUACAAUCAUAUUUUUAAAUCAUAGGUAUAUUAUAAUGUAUAGAUACACAUAUUAUUAUAUUUAUCACCGGAUUUUGAAUAGAUUUUUGAUUGGACAUGAACCAAAAACAUUGCACCACGGCAUGCAGAGUUAUUGACAAGAUUAUUGUGUAAUAAACUAAUAAUAACUAAAUAUAGAUACACGACAGACUUUCGACACGAUUAAUUAAAAAUUGAAUAACGAUAUCGU